CCUACGGGAGGCAGCAGUGAGGAAUAUUGGUCAAUGGGCGCGAUCCUGAACCAGCCAAGCCGCGUGAGGGAAGACGGCUCUAUGAGUUGUAAACUUCUUUUGUAGGAGAACAAACCCCGGGACGCGUCUCGGUCUGCGUGUAUCGUACGAAAAAGCAUCGGCUAACUCCGUGCCAGCAGCCGCGGUAAUACGGAGGAUGCAAGCGUUAUCCGGAUUUACUGGGUUUAAAGGGAGCGUAGACGGCGGUGCAAGUCCGGAGUGAAAGCCCAUGGCUUAACCAUGGAAUUGCUCUGGAGACUGUGGGGCUUGAGAGCAGGAGCGGCAGGCGGAAUUCCUGGUGUAGCGGGGAAAUGCUUAGAGAUUAGACGGAACACCGGCGGCGAAGGCGGCCUAC
rnacentral:rRNA from 1 species